rnacentral:rRNA from 1 species
GACGAACGCUGGCGGCGUGCCUAAUACAUGCAAGUCGAGCGGACUGUUCCUUCGGGAGCAGUUAGCGGCGGACGGGUGAGUAACACGUAGGCAACCUGCCUGUAAGACCGGGAUAACUAUCGGAAACGAUAGCUAAGAGCGGAUAGCUGGUUUCUCGCAUGAGGGAAUCAUGAAACACGGAGCAAUCUGUGGCUUACGGAUGGGCCUACGGCGCAUUAGCUAGUUGGUAGGGUAACGGCCUACCAAGGCGACGAUGCGUAGCCGACCUGAGAGGGUGAUCGGCCACACUGGGACUGAGACACGGCCCAGACUCCUACGGGUGGCAG